AAAGCUGAUCCCCACACGGGAA
rnacentral:miRNA from 1 species